rnacentral:rRNA from 1 species
GGAAUAUUGCACAAUGGGCGCAAGCCUGAUGCAGCCAUGCCGCGUGUAUGAAGAAGGCCUUCGGGUUGUAAAGUACUUUCAGCGGGGAGGAAGGCGAUGGGGUUAAUAACCCUGUCGAUUGACGUUACCCGCAGAAGAAGCACCGGCUAACUCCGUGCCAGCAGCCGCGGUAAUACGGAGGGUGCAAGCGUUAUCCGGAUUUAUUGGGCGUAAAGCGAGCGCAGGCGGUUUUUUAAGUCUGAUGUGAAAGCCUUCGGCUCAACCGAAGAAGUGCAUCGGAAACUGGAAAACUUGAGUGCAGAAGAGGACAGUGGAACGCCAUGUGUAGCGGUGAAAUGCGUAGAUAUAUGGAAGAACACCAGUGGCGAAGGCGGCUGUCUGGUCUGUAACUGACGCUGAGGCUCGAAAGUAUGGGUAGCAAACA